rnacentral:rRNA from 1 species
GACGAACGCUGGCGGCGUGCUUAACACAUGCAAGUCGAACGGUGAAAGUGGAGCUUGCUCCGCUGGAGCAGUGGCGAACGGGUGAGUAACACGUGGGCAACCUGCCCCUCACUUCGGGAUAACUCCGGGAAACCGGGGCUAAUACCGGAUAUGACCUCCUUGGGCAUCCUUGGAGGUGGAAAGUUUUUCGGUGCGGGAUGGGCCCGCGGCCUAUCAGCUUGUUGGUGAGGUAGGGGCUCACCAAGGCGACGACGGGUAGCCGGCCUAAGAGGGCGACCGGCGACACUGGGACUGAGACACGGCCCAGACUCCUACGGGAGGCAGCAGUGGGGAAUAUUGCGCAAUGGGCGAAAGCCUGACGCAGCAACGCCGCGUGCGGGAUGACGGCCUUCGGGUUGUAAACCGCUUUCAGCAGGGAAGAAGCCGCAAGGUGACGGUACCUGCAGAAGAAGCACCGGCUAACUACGUGCCAGCCGCCGCAGUAA